rnacentral:lncRNA from 1 species
UGGUGGGGGUGUAAUGUAACAUACAGAGCGUUGAAGAUAAAAAAAAAAAAUUAAAGAAAAAAAAAGCUUUUAUUAGUGAUGUGAUAUAUAAAUAUAAGAGGGCGGCUAUUUGAUUUGUUGUUACCAACACAUUUAUUAGUUUUUUUAACUCUUAAUUAAUUACACACAUCUACCUUCUAACGUUUCUUUAAAUGUACCAUCACCUUUUGCUUUUCCACCUUUAGCUCUCCAACAAAAUAAACACAAUUUUUCAAAACAAACAAACAAAAAUACCAUCUUUCUCUGCCUUUUCACUUCUCUCCAACAGAUUUUCACUUUCUCACUCGCAUUUUCUAUCCACUGCCCCAAAACAACACAAUCUUUUCACAGAUUUUUCAAUAACUAACCAACAACAUCCACAAUGUAAAGAAUACUAUGGACAAACUUGUCAUCUUACACACAGGUGUUAUUUUUAUUUUUAUUUUUAUUUUUAUUAAAUAAAAUAAAAUGACUUUUUGUAUCUGCAAAAAAUAUGAUAUAAAUUUUGAGUUGAAUUAGGCAUUUAAAAUCAUACGUACACGUGGCCCAAAUAAAU